UCGAGCGCGCCCUUCGGGGUGAGCGGCGGACGGGUGAGUAACGCGUGGGAAUAUGCCCUUCUCUAAGGAAUAGCCUCUGGAAACGGAGAGUAAUACCUUAUACGCCCUUUUGGGGAAAGAUUUAUCGGAGAAGGAUUAGCCCGCGUUAGAUUAGGUAGUUGGUGGGGUAAUGGCCUACCAAGCCUACGAUCUAUAGCUGGUUUGAGAGGAUGAUCAGCCACACUGGGACUGAGACACGGCCCAGACUCCUACGGGAGGCAGCAGUAGGGAAUCUUAGACAAUGGGGGCAACCCUGAUCUAGCCAUGCCGCGUGUGUGAUGAAGGCCCUAGGGUCGUAAAGCACUUUCGCCAGAGAUGAUAAUGACAGUAUCUGGUAAAGAAACCCCGGCUAACUCCGUGCCAGCAGCCGCGGUAAUACGGAGGGGGUUAGCGUUGUUCGGAAUUACUGGGCGUAAAGCGCACGUAGGCGGAUUAGUAAGUUAGAGGUGAAAUCCCAGGGCUCAACCCUGGAACUGCCUUUAAUACUGCUAGUCUUGAGUUCGAGAGAGGUAAGUGGAAUUCCGAGUGUAGAGGUGAAAUUCGUAGAUAUUCGGAGGAACACCAGUGGCGAAGGCGGCUUACUGGCUCGAUACUGACGCUGAGGUGCGAAAGUGUGGGGAGCAAACAGGAUUAGAU
rnacentral:rRNA from 1 species